rnacentral:tRNA from 1 species
UCCCUGGUGGCUCAGAUGGUAAAGAAUCUGCCCUCAAUGCAGAAGACCCAGGUUCGAUCCCUGGGUUGGGAA